UAUAAUGUAACAAAUAAAAUUUAGAAAAUUCAAGGCAGGGUAAACUCGCACCUGUUCUACCCAGAAGAGUGGCUCAAGUUCACAUUCAGAAUUUAUUUGUUGAAAGAGUAUCUCCACUUUAUCACAAUCGAGCACUUCCAAUUCUUUCAGAAGUAGCCAGCUUGAACUAAACCUUCUAGAGCAAAAUCUUUUGAGUUGGUGUAAACCGGAGAGUGUGAGAGAGGUAAGGUUAGGGAAUAAGAGUAAAGGUGCUGCUUCAUCUUCAUUUUCAUUGGCAACAAUUGCCUCCACUCCACUCUCCGAUAUAUAUAGGUCCUCAAGUUGCACAAGAGCACUCGCCACAGAAACCCGAAAAAGGUUUAGCAAUUUGUUGAAUCCCCUUACAUGCAAUUUCCUUAAUUUGGAAAAUGAAUUUGUUGGAAGUUGGUCAGGCCACAAUGCUCUUAUAUUAUCCAGUCCGCAUACAUACAAGGACUCCAAGCCUUGGAGUGCAACCUGUGCAAUUGAUAAUCCCUUUGGUUAAUAAUAUAUACAUAUACAUUCCUAAUGAUUAGACACAUGUAAAUAGAAAAUAAGAGGUUAAAGGAGAAUAUAUCAGUAUAACAAAGCACAAAAUUUAAACUAGAUUAAAGAAGAUCAAGAAAGAGAAAAGAAAAGAAAAAGCCUCCAGAUUUUGAAGAUACAAUGAAACUUAAAAAAAAAAAAAAAAAACCUCCAAAUUUUCCUUUCGAAAUGAGGUAAUAAGAGGAUUUUUUUUUUCUUUUUUCUUUGCCUCUCUUUCAAAUUUGAUUAACUUCUAUGGAAAACGUAUUUUAACUAGUUAUGGAAAACGGAUUUUUUUUUUUAAAAACUUUUAUAUAAGAUACAAGUAAUACUUUAAAAAAAUUGUGAUAUCUAAAAAAUUUUUUGAAAAAUUAUUUUUAAAGAAAUAAGGUAAAUCUAUACUUUUUGUAUAAGAUGUUCUACCUUUGUAUUCAAAUUUCUGAUUUUUUUUUUUUAAAGUGUAUCCAAAUGCACACUAAACUAUCUAGUUUUUAAUUGUUACAACUUUGAAUUGGAUUUUAUGGUAAACUAAUUUACAAGUUAAUGCAUAGAUUCAUCUUAGAUUCCAUCUAUAAAUUUUUUUAAUUAUCUAAUAUAAGACAGUAUAUUAAUGGGUUGAAUUAAUAAUGUAAUUAUAAUUUAUUUGGCAACUUUCUUCCUUCAAAUAUAUAAAAUGAAAAUAAAUUUUAAAAAAUAAAAAAUAAAAAAAAGAUUUUUUUUAUAGUUUUUCUAAGAUGAUUUUGUAGAGUUCUGUUAGUUUAUAGUUUUCACUUUAUUUAUUGAGGUAUGUUCUUUUUUGAAACUCUUGUUUAGAUUUUAUUGAGAAUAUAAAUUUUAAGAAAAAAAAUAAAAUUUAAAUAAAAUAAGAAUAAAGAAAGGCAAAAGCUGGAUGAAUUUUUUUAAGGCAAAAGUUUGAUAAUUUGGCACUCUCAUGUAAUGGGUGAAAUUUUUAAAUACUCAACAAAGGCUAGUGAAAUUUAAAUUAAAACCAUGACAUGUACCUUUUAGACCAAAAUCUUUGGAGUUGGUGUAAUGUUUUGAGUAUGAGAGAGGUUAGUCUAGGGAAUAUUAUUGCACAUUAGUUCAAAUAAAACAUCAACAUUUUUUUUUGUUAAAUUCUAAAUGAACACCACUAUAAAUUAAUGCGAUUUUGUAUGCUCAAUUAAAUAAACUCGUUCUUAAGGCAUCACAUGAAGUGUUUAAGUCUAAUUAAUAUUAAUUAAAAAUGAUUAUAGUAAAAAAAAUCCAAAGUAAUUUUUUUUUAUCAUAAGUCAAGUAGGAUAGUUUUAUAAAUAAUUGGUUCUAGUUUCUAGUAUUAUUGUAGACAAUCGCUAUGUUUGUUGCACCUCCAAAAAAUCUACUACUUGUAAUUAAUUGUAUAUUAUUCUCCAUAUUCACAUCAGUUUAUGUAGUAUGAUUAAUUUAGCAACAAAAUAUAAGUUUACUUGAAAUGGCUUUAAAUUCCUAUGAUAUUAAAGUUUAAGAUUAAAACAAUGUAACAUUAGCAAAAAAGAUUAAGAUCUAUAAUGUAACAAAUAAAAUUUAGAAAAUUCAAGGCAGGGUAAACUCGCACCUGUUCUACCCAGAAGAGUGGCUCAAGUUCACAUUCAGAAUUUAUUUGUUGAAAGAGUAUCUCCACUUUAUCACAAUCGAGCACUUCCAAUUCUUUCAGAAGUAGCCAGCUUGAACUAAACCUUCUAGAGCAAAAUCUUUUGAGUUGGUGUAAACCGGAGAGUGUGAGAGAGGUAAGGUUAGGGAAUAAGAGUAAAGGUGCUGCUUCAUCUUCAUUUUCAUUGGCAACAAUUGCCUCCACUCCACUCUCUGAUAUAUAUAGGUCCUCAAGUUGCACAAGAGCACUCGCCACAGAAACCCGAAAAAGGUUUAGCAAUUUGUUGAAUCCCCUUACAUGCAAUUUCCUUAAUUUGGAAAAUGAAUUUGUUGGAAGUUGGUCAGGCCACAAUGCUCUUAUAUUAUCCAGUCCGCAUACAUACAAGGACUCCAAGCCUGGGAGUGCAACCUGUGCAAUUGAUAAUCCCUUUGGUUAAUAAUAUAUACAUAUACAUUCCUAAUAAUUAGACACAUGUAAAUAGAAAAUAAGAGGUUAAAGGAGAAUAUAUCAGUAUAACAAAGCACAAAAUUUAAACUAGAUUAAAGAAGAUCAAGAAAGAGAAAAGAAAAGAAAAAGCCUCCAGAUUUUGAAGAUACAAUGAAACUUAAAAAAAAAAAAAAAAAACCUCCAAAUUUUCCUUUCGAAAUGAGGUAAUAAGAGGAUUUUUUUUUUAUUUUUUCUUUGCCUCUCUUUCAAAUUUGAUUAACUUCUAUGGAAAACGCAUUUUAACUAGUUAUGGAAAACGGAUUUUUUUUUUUUAAAACUUUUAUAUAAGAUACAAGUAAUACUUUAAAAAAAUUGUGAUAUCUAAAAAAUUUUUUGAAAAAUUAUUUUUAAAGAAAUAAGGUAAAUCUAUACUUUUUGUAUAAGAUGUUCUACCUUUGUAUUCAAAUUUCUGAUUUUUUUUUUUAAAGUGUAUCCAAAUGCACAAUAAACUACCUAGUUUUUAAUUGUUACAACUUUGAAUUGGAUUUUAUGGUAAACUAAUUUACAAGUUAAUGCAUGGAUUCAUCUUAGAUUCCAUCUAUAAAUUUUUUUAAUUAUCUAAUAUAAGACAUUAUAUUAAUGGGUUGAAUUAAUAAUGUAAUUAUAAUUUAUUUGGCAACUUUCUUCCUUCAAAUAUAUAAAAUGAAAAUAAAUUUUAAAAAAUAAAAAAAAUGAAAAAAUAAAAAAUAAAAAAAAGAUUUUUUUUAUAGUUUUUCUAAGAUGAUUUUGUAGAGUACUGUUAGUUUAUAGUUUUCACUUUAUUUAUUGAGGUAUGUUCUUUUUUGAAACUCUUGUUUAGAUUUUAUUGAGAAUAUAAAUUUUAAGAAAAAAAAUGAAAUUUAAAUAAAAUAAGAAUAAAGAAAGGCAAAAGGUGGAUGAAUUUUUUUACGGCAAAAGUUUGAUAAUUUGGCACUAUCAUGUAAUGGGUGAAAUUUUUAAAUACUCAACAAAGGCUAGUGAAAUUUAAAUUAAAACCUUGACAUGUACCUUUUAGACCAAAAUCUUUGGAGUUGGUGUAAAGUUUUGAGUAUGAGAGAGGUUAGUCUAGGGAAUAUUAUUGCACAUUAGUUCAAAUAAAACAUCAACAUUUUUUUUUGUUAAAUUCUAAAUGAACACCACUAUAAAUUAAUGCGAUUUUGUAUGCUCAAUUAAAUAAACUCGUUCUUAAGGCAUCACAUGAAGUAUUUAAGUCUAAUUAAUAUUAAUUAAAAAUGAUUAUAGUAAAAAAAAUCCAAAGUAAUUUUUUUUUAUCAUAAGUCAAGUAGGAUAGUUUUAUAAAUAAUUGGUUCUAGUUUCUAGUAUUAUUGUAGACAAUCGCUAUGUUUGUUGCACCUCCAAAAAAUCUACUACUUGUAAUUAAUUGUAUAUUAUUCUCCAUAUUCACAUCAGUUUAUGUAGUAUGAUUAAUUUAGCAACAAAAUAUAAGUUUACUUGAAAUGGCUUUAAAUUCCUAUGAUAUUAAAGUUUAAGAUUAAAACAAUGUAACAUUAGCCAAAAAGAUUAAGAUCUAUAAUGUAACAUAUAAAAUUUAGAAAAUUCAAGGAAGGGUAAACUCGCACCUGUUCUACCCAGAAGAGUGGCUCAAGUUCACAUUCAGAAUUUAUUUGUUGAAAGAGUAUCUCCACUUUAUCACAAUAGAGCACUUCCAAUUCUUUCAGAAGUGGCCAGCUUGAACUAAACCUUCUAGAGCAAAAUCUUUUGAGUUGGUGUAAACCGGAGAGUGUGAGAGAGGUAAGGUUAGGGAAUAAGAGUAAAGGUGCUGCCUCAUCUUCAUUUUCAUUGGCAACAAUUGCCUCCACUCCACUCUGAAAUAUAUUUAGGUUCUCAAGUUGCACAAGAGCACUCGCCACAGAAACCGGAAAAAGGUUUAGCAAUUUGUUGCAUCCCCUUACUUGCAAUUCCCUUAAUUUGGAAAAUGAAUUUGCUGGAAGUUGGUCAGGCCACAAUGCUCUUAUAUUAUCUAGUCCGCAUACAGAAAAGGACUCCAAGCCUGGGAGUGCAACCUGUGCAAUUGAUGAUCCCUUUAGUUAAUAAUAUAUACAUAUACAUUCCUAAUAAUUAGCACAUGUAAAUAGAAAAUAAGAGGUUAAAGGAGAAUAUAUCAGUAUAACAAAGCACAAAAUUUAAACUAGAUUCAAGAAGAUCAAGAAAGAGAAAAGAAAAGAAAAAGCCUCCAGAUUUUAAAGAUACAAUGAAACUUAAAAAAAAAAAAAAAAAACCUCCAAAUUUUCCUUUCGAAAUGAGGUAAUAAGAGGAUUUUUUUUUUUUUCUUUUUUCUUUGCCUCUCUUUCAAAUUUGAUUAACUUCUAUGGAAAACGUAUUUUAACUAGUUAUGGAAAACGGAUUUUUUUUUUAAACUUUUAUAUAAGAUACAAGUAAUACUUUUAAAAAAUUGUGAUAUCUAAAAAAGUUUUUGAAAAAUUAUUUUUAAAGAAAUAAGGUAAAUCUAUACUUUUUGUAUAAGAUCUUCUACCUUUAUAUACAAAUUUCUGAUUUUUUUUUUUAAAGUGUAUCCAAAUGGACACUAAACUAUCUAGUUUUUAAUUGUUACAACUUUGAAUUGGAUUUUAUGGUAAACUAAUUUACAAGUUAAUGCAUGGAUUCAUCUUAGAUUCCAUCUAUAAAUUUUUUUAAUUAUCUAAUAUAAGACAUUAUAUUAAUGGGUUGAAUUAAUAAUGUAAUUAUAAUUUAUUUGGCAACUUUCUUCCUUCAAAUAUAUAAAAUGAAAAUAAAUUUUAAAAAAUAAAAAAGAAUGAAAAAAAUAAAAAAUAAAAAAAGCUUUUUUUUAUAGUUUUUCUAAGAUGAUUUUGUAGAGUACUGUUAGUUUAUAGUUUUAACUUUAUUUCAUUUUACUUUUAACUUUAUUUAUUGAGGUAUGUUCUUUUUUGAAACUCUUGUUUAGAUUUUAUAGAGAAUAUAAAUUUUAAGAAAAAAAAAGGAAAUUUAAAUAAAAUAAGAAUAAAGAAAGGCAAAAGGUGGAUGAAUUUUUUUAAGGCAAAAGUUUGAUAAUUUGGCACUAUCAUGUAAUGGGUGAAAUUUUUAAAUACUCAACAAAGGCUAGUGAAAUUUAAAUUAAAAGCUUGACAUGUACCUUUUCGACCAAAAUCUUUGGAGUUGGUGUAAAGUUUUGAGUAUGAGAGAGGUUAGUCUAGGGAAUAUUAUUGCACAUUUGUUCAAAUAAAACAUCAACAUUUUUUUUUGUUAAAUUCUAAAUGAACACCACUAUAAAUUAAUGCGAUUUUGUAUGCUCAAUUAAAUAAACUCAUUCUUAAGGCAUCACAUGAAGUGUUUAAGUCUAAUUAAUAUUAAUUAAAAAUGAUUAUAUUAAAAAAAAUCCAAAGUAAUUUAUUUUUAUCAUAAGUCAAGUAGGAUAGUUUUAUAAAUAAUUGGUUCUAGUUUCUAGUAUUAUUGUACACAAUCGCUAUGUUUGUUGCACCUCCAAAAAUCUACUACUUGUAAUUAAUUGUAUAUUAUUCUCCAUAUUCACAUCAGUUUAUGUAGUAUGAUUAAUUUAGCAACAAAAUAUAAGUUUACUUGAAAUCGCUUUAAAUUCCUAUGAUAUUAAAGUUUAAGAUUAAAACAAUUUAACAUUAGCCAAAAAGAUUAAGAUCUAUAAUGUAACAUAUAAAAUUUAGAAAAUUCAAGGAAGGGUAAACUCGCACCUGUUCUACCCAGAAGAGUGGCUCAAGUUCACAUUCAGAAUUUAUUUGUUGAAAGAGUAUCUCCACUUUAUCACAAUCGAGCACUUCCAAUUCUUUCAGAAGUGGCCAACUUGAACUAAACUUUCUAGAGCAAAAUCUUUUGAGUUGGUGUAAACCGGAGAGUGUGAGAGAGGUAAGGUUAGGGAAUAAAAGUAAAAGUGCUGCUUCAUCUUCAUUUUCAUUGUGAACAAUUGCCUCCACUCCACUAUAAAAUAUAUUUAGGUUCUCAAGUUGCACAAGAGCACUCGCCACAGAAACCGGAAAAAGGUUUAGCAAUUUGUUGCAUCCCCUUACUUGCAAUUUCCUUAAUUUGGAAAAUGAAUUUGCUGGAAGUUGGUCAGGCCACAAUGCUCUUAUAUUAUCUAGUCCGCAUACAGACACGGACUCCAAGCCUGGGAGUGCAACCUGUGCAAUUGAUGAUCCCUUUAGUUAAUAAUAUAUACAUAUACAUUCCUAAUAAUUAGACACAUGUAAAUAGAAAAU
rnacentral:lncRNA from 1 species